CAGGGUGUGGCUCAGUGGUGGAGCACUUGCCUGGCGUGUACAGGUCCUGGGUUCCAUCCCAGCACUGUAG
rnacentral:tRNA from 1 species